UGGUUUGUUUACAUAAAACGAACAUUAUACUCUUGUUAGCGGCUAACUAGCUAAUUUAUAGCUAGCCUCCUAGCAUGAUUGUGCCCUUCACUACUAUCGUAGCUACAUACAGUAGCUAACCAUUUAAAAGACGACCAGCUAGUUUUUACUAUUUGUAUCUACGCGCUUUACAUACUAUUAAGCCUUAUUUCUUAUAUCUAACACUCAUACAGUCCACUCGUCUAGUAUUGCUAGUUAACUAACAUCAACGGUAGCUAGCUAACCUUAGUCGGUAACGUUAGCUACCCUAUCAACUAUAACUAGUUUUAAGUUAACUAGCUAAUGUAUGACCGGGUUAUCGAUCCUUGGCCACAGCUCGGUUGUACUUUUUCUCAUGUUGCAUGUCAAACAUACCCAGGUAUACGAACGUUGUAACGUUUAAUAUAUAAUAAGCCUAUUUAGCUAGCUUAUUAGCCUAGCCAGCUAAAUCAUUGACCCAUUAUUUAGCCAGUUUUGGAGAGCGUCCCGACCUUAUUCAUGACCCAGACAGUUGAAGCAAUGUGCUGGUAGCUAGUAACGUUAGUAUGCAGCCCAUUAUACACAGAAGAGAUGCCGAAGUGUGGCAUCAAACGAGAAGCCUGUUUUACAAGAAUCUACUCAUCAAAUGGAGGACAAAAAAACAAAGCCUGCAGGAGUUGAUCCUGCCCCUGCUGCUGCUCUGCCUGCUUUUUCUGAUCAGCAUCCUGAACCCCCAUGUCUACUAUGGAGGUAUCAGUACUAUGGAGCUGGACACGGUGCACUUCUCCGUCCUCAACGUCCUGGGAUACACCCCCGCCAACAAUGCCACCAAUCACAUCAUGGAGCAGGUGGCCCAGGAAAUGAACAUUCCGGGCCGUCUGGAGAGUUUCUCUAGUGAAGAGGAUCUGGAGAAUGCCAGUCUGUAUGAGCCAUCAGGCUACGUCGGGGUGGUCUUCAUAGGAAGCAUACAAACCUCUUACAGACUGCGCUUCCCUCACGACCGGCUGCCCAUACCCACCUCUUACAGACUGCGCUUCCCUCACGACCGGCUGCCCAUACCCACCUCUUACAGACUGCGCUUCCCUCACGACCGGCUGCCCAUACCCACCUCUUACAGACUGCGCUUCCCUCACGACCGGCUGCCCAUACCCACCUCUUACAGACUGCACUUCCCUCACGACCGGCUGCCCAUACCCACCUCUUACAGACUGCACUUCCCUCACGACCGGCUGCCCAUACCCACCUCUUACAGACUGCACUUCCCUCACGACCGGCUGCCCAUACCCACCUCUUACAGACUGCACUUCCCUCACGACCGGCUGCCCAUACCCACCUCUUACAGACUGCGCUUCCCUCACGACCGGCUGCCCAUACCCACCUCUUACAGACUGCACUUCCCUCACGACCGGCUGCCCAUACCCACCUCUUACAGACUGCGCUUCCCUCACCACCGGCUGCCCAUACCCACCUCUUACAGACUGCACUUCCCUCACCACCGGCUGCCCAUGCCCAGCGACUACACUCAGAACGUCGAUUUGUGAAAGACGGGAGGAAUGAAGGAGAGGAGACAAAUGAAGGAGAGGAGAUGAAAGUGACAGCUUCCGGGUAUGCUGGAAAAGGACCCGAGCUAAGGGAUUUGGGCUGAUUUUCCCAGUCGGAGCCAGUUCUUUUCCCAGAACUCUCAGUUGACUUGAACACACUGAAGUCUGAAAUGUCCCAAGUUCCCAGUUGUUUUGAACGCAGCAUUUCUACCACUGUUCUUGUUGGGCGCUAGCUCCCCAUCUUAUCACUACAAGCGCUAUUUGAUUCACCAGAUAAUCUACACACCCACGUUCUGAAUAUGUCAAGGACAAAGAGGGACGGAUCAAACAGCCAAUGGAUAGGUAAAACGAAAUGCUCGGCCAGCUGGGCUCAGCAAGGAUAAUGAGGGACGGAUCAAACAGCCAAUGGAUAGGUAAAACGAAAUGCUCGGCCAGCUGGGCUCAGCAAGGAUACUGAGGGACGGAUCAAACAGCCAAUGGAUAGGUAAAACGAAAUGCUCGGCCAGCUGGGCUCAGCAAGGACAAAGAGGGACGGAUCAAACAGCCAAUGGAUAGGUAAAACGAAAUGCUCGGCCAGCUGGGCUCAGCAAGGACAAAGAGGGACGGAUCAAACAGCCAAUGGAUAGGUAAAACGAAAUGCUCGGCCAGCUGGGCUCAGCAAGGAUACUGAGGGACGGAUCAAACAGCCAAUGGAUAGGUAAAACGAAAUGCUCGGCCAGCUGGGCUCAAGGAUACUGAGCUAGAGAGAGCAGGGUUGUACACCAAAGUUACACCUUUUAUUUAUUUAAUUUCACCUUUAUUUAACUAGGCAAGUCAGUUAAGAACAAAUUCUUAUUACAAUGACGGCCUAUCAAAAGGCUUCCUACAGGGACGGGGCCUGGGAUUUAAAAAAUUAAAUGAAUACAAUAUAAAUAUAGGACAAAACACACAUCAUAACAAGAG